AGGGAAUCUUCCGCAAUGGACGAAAGUCUGACGGAGCAACGCCGCGUGAGUGAUGACGGCCUUCGGGUUGUAAAGCUCUGUUAAUCGGGACGAAUGGCUCUUGUGCAAAUAGUGAGAGGAUUUGACGGUACCGGAAUAGAAAGCCACGGCUAACUACGUGCCAGCAGCCGCGGUAAUACGUAGGUGGCAAGCGUUGUCCGGAAUUAUUGGGCGUAAAGCGCGCGCAGGCGGAUUGGUCAGUCUGUCUUAAAAGUUCGGGGCUUAACCCCGUGAUGGGAUGGAAACUGCCAAUCUAGAGUAUCGGAGAGGAAAGUGGAAUUCCUAGUGUAGCGGUGAAAUGCGUAGAUAUUAGGAAGAACACCAGUGGCGAAGGCGACUUUCUGGACGAAAACUGACGCUGAGGCGCGAAAGCCAGGGGAGCGAACGGGAUUAGAUACCCCGGUAGUCCUGGCCGUAAACGAUGGGUACUAGGUGUAGGAGGUAUCGACCCCUUCUGUGCCGGAGUUAACGCAAUAAGUACCCCGCCUGGGGAGUACGACCGCAAGGUUG
rnacentral:rRNA from 1 species